GUAGGGCGGGACACGUGGUAUCCUGUCUGAAUAUGGGGGGACCAUCCUCCAAGGCUAAAUACUCCUGACUGACCGAUAGUGAACCAGUACCGUGAGGGAAAGGCGAAAAGAACCCCGGCGAGGGGAGUGAAAAAGAACCUGAAACCGUGUACGUACAAGCAGUGGGAGCCCCACCACCAAAGCAUUUGCUGUACCAUGUUGACGGAGCGAAGCGACGUCAAACCGAUAAAACAGCAGUGUAAAGUGAGCCGCAGGGCGCUUUGCGCGACAGCGCAAAGGCAGGCGGUUUCGCGUAGCGAAAGCGAAUGCUUUGGGGUGGGGUGACUGCGUACCUUUUGUAUAAUGGGUCAGCGACUUAUAUUCUGUAGCAAGGUUAACCGAAUAGGGGAGCCGGAGGGAAACCGAGUCUUAA
rnacentral:rRNA from 1 species